rnacentral:lncRNA from 1 species
CAGAUAAUUGAUGUAUAUAUUUUCAAAAAUAAGAAUUCAUAAAAUAGUACUCCAUUAAAUAUGAAAAGAAUAGAUUAAGUCAGAGAAAAAGUGCCCUUUAUUCCAAAGUUCUUUCCUGUGUAUGUUCUUAGAAGCCGGCUUCCCUCACCAUGUAGCCAACUUAUGUCAGAAUUUCAGAUGUUUUGGAGCUCUUCAGGUCUAUAGGAU